CGGGUGCGUAACGCGUAUGCAAUCUACCUUUUACAGAGGGAUAGCCCAGAGAAAUUUGGAUUAAUACCUCAUAGUAUGUGAGAAUCGCAUGGUUUUCACAUUAAAGUUCCAACGGUAAAAGAUGAGCAUGCGUCCCAUUAGCUAGAUGGUAAGGUAACGGCUUACCAUGGCGACGAUGGGCAGGGGUCCUGAGAGGGAGAUCCCCCACACUGGUACUGAGACACGGACCAG
rnacentral:rRNA from 1 species